rnacentral:rRNA from 1 species
GUAAGGAAUAUUGGACAAUGGACGCAAGUCUGAUCCAGCCAUGCCGCGUGAAGGAUUAAGGUCCUCUGGAUUGUAAACUUCUUUUAUAAGGGACGAAAAAAGGCUUUUCUAAGUCGUCUGACGGUACCUUAUGAAUAAGCACCGGCUAACUCCGUGCCAGCAGCCGCGGUAAUACGGAGGGUGCAAGCGUUAUCCGGAUUCACUGGGUUUAAAGGGUGCGUAGGCGGGGAGGUAAGUCAGUGGUGAAAUCCUAGAGCUUAACUCUAGAACUGCCAUUGAUACUAUCUGUCUUGAAUAUUGUGGAGGUAAGCGGAAUAUGUCAUGUAGCGGUGAAAUGCUUAGAUAUGACAUAGAACACCUAUUGCGAAGGCAGCUUACUACGCAUAUAUUGACGCUGAGGCACGAAAGCGUGGGGAUCAAACAGGAUUAGAAACCCGAGUAGUCC